rnacentral:rRNA from 1 species
ACUCUAAGCGGUGGAUCACUCGGCUCAUGGGUCGAUGAAGAACGCAGCAAACUGUGCGUCAUCGUGUGAACUGCAGGACACAUGAACAUCGACAUUUUGAACGCAUAUCGCAGUCCAUGCUGUUAUGUACUUUAAUUAAUUUUAUAGUGCUGCUUGGACUACAUAUGGUUGAGGGUUGUAAGACUAUGCUAAUUAAGUUGCUUAUAAAUUUUUAUAAGCAUAUGGUAUAUUAUUGGAUAAAUAUAAUAAUUUUUAUUCAUAAUAUUAAAAAAUAAAUGAAAAACAUUAUCUCACAUUUGAAUGUGAAAAACGAAGAGAAAUAUUUUCUUUUUCAAUCAAAUAAUACUGAGAAAUGUCUAGCAUAAAAAAUUGAAAUAUUUUUUCAUCUAGAAUUGUCUCUUAUUAAUGAUUCGGAAAUAGAAAAAUCUUGGUUAUGUUAUUAUUCUUCGUUGGUUCGUUAAAAUGGAUAAAUAAAAACUUUGCAUACAAGAAUUAAUAAAAAUGUUAUAACGAAUUUAAUUAAAUGUUUUAUCAUUAUAUAUAAAGAAUUUAUGGCAAGAUAAAGUUAUAUACAACCUCAACUCAUAUGGGACUACCCCCUGAAUUUAAGCAUAUUAAUUAGGGGAGGAAAAGAAACUAACAAGGAUUUUCUUAGUAGCGGCGAGCGAAAAGAAAACAGUUCAGCACUAAGUCACUUUGUCUAUAUGGCAAAUGUGAGAUGCAGUGUAUGGAGCGUCAAUAUUCUAGUAUAAGAAAUUAACGAUUUAAGUCCUUCUUAAAUGAGGCCAUUUACCCAUAGAGGGUGCCAGGCCCGUAUAACGUUAAUGAUUACUAGAUGAUGUUUCCAAAGAGUCGUGUUGCUUGAUAGUGCAGCACUAAGUGGGUGGUAAACUCCAUCUAAAACUAAAUAUAACCAUGAGACGAUAGUAAACAAGUACCGUGAGGGAAAGUUGAAAAGAACUCUGAAUAGAGAGUUAAACAGUACGUGAAACUGCUUAGAGGUUAAGCCCGAUGAACCUGAAUAUCCGUUAUGGAAAAUUCAUCAUUAAAAUUGUAAUAUUUAAAUAAUAUUAUGAGAAUAGUGUGCAUUUUUUCCAUAUAAGGACAUUGUAAUCUAUUAGCAUAUACCAAAUUUAUCAUAAAAUAUAACUUAUAGUUUAUUCCAAUUAAAUUGCUUGCAUUUUAACACAGAAUAAAUGUUAUUAAUUUGAUAAAGUGCUGAUAGAUUUAUAUGAUUACAGUGCGUUAAUUUUUCGGAAUUAUAUAAUGGCAUAAUUAUCAUUGAUUUUUGUGUUUAUUAUAUGCACUUGUAUGAUUAACAAUGCGAAAGAUUCAGGAUACCUUCGGGACCCGUCUUGAAACACGGACCAAGGAGUCUAACAUAUGUGCAAGUUAUUGGGAUAUAAACCUAAUAGCGUAAUUAACUUGACUAAUAAUGGGAUUAGUUUUUUAGCUAUUUAUAGCUAAUUAACACAAUCCCGGGGCGUUCUAUAUAGUUAUGUAUAAUGUAUAUUUAUAUUAUUUAUGCCUCUAACUGGAACGUACCUUGAGCAUAUAUGCUGUGACCCGAAAGAUGGUGAACUAUACUUGAUCAGGUUGAAGUCAGGGGAAACCCUGAUGGAAGACCGAAACAGUUCUGACGUGCAAAUCGAUUGUCAGAAUUGAGUAUAGGGGCGAAAGACCAAUCGAACCAUCUAGUAGCUGGUUCCUUCCGAAGUUUCCCUCAGGAUAGCUGGUGCAUUUUAAUAUUAUAUAAAAUAAUCUUAUCUGGUAAAGCGAAUGAUUAGAGGCCUUAGGGUCGAAACGAUCUUAACCUAUUCUCAAACUUUAAAUGGGUAAGAACCUUAACUUUCUUGAUAUGAAGUUCAAGGUUAUGAUAUAAUGUGCCCAGUGGGCCACUUUUGGUAAGCAGAACUGGCGCUGUGGGAUGAACCAAACGUAAUGUUACGGUGCCCAAAUUAACAACUCAUGCAGAUACCAUGAAAGGCGUUGGUUGCUUAAAACAGCAGGACGGUGAUCAUGGAAGUCGAAAUCCGCUAAGGAGUGUGUAACAACUCACCUGCCGAAGCAACUAGCCCUUAAAAUGGAUGGCGCUUAAGUUGUAUACCUAUACAUUACCGCUAAAGUAGAUGAUUUAUAUUACUUGUGAUAUAAAUUUUGAAACUUUAGUGAGUAGGAAGGUACAAUGGUAUGCGUAGAAGUGUUUGGCGUAAGCCUGCAUGGAGCUGCCAUUGGUACAGAUCUUGGUGGUAGUAGCAAAUAAUCGAAUGAGACCUUGGAGGACUGAAGUGGAGAAGGGUUUCGUGUGAACAGUGGUUGAUCACGAGUUAGUCGGUCCUAAGUUCAAGGCGAAAGCCGAAAAUUUUCAAGUAAAACAAAAAUGCCUAACUAUAUAAACAAAGCGAAUUAUAAUACACUUGAAUAAUUUUGAACGAAAGGGAAUACGGUUCCAAUUCCGUAACCUGUUGAGUAUCCGUUUGUUAUUAAAUAUGGGCCUCGUGCUCAUCCUGGCAACAGGAACGACCAUAAAGAAGCCGUCGAGAGAUAUCGGAAGAGUUUUCUUUUCUGUUUUAUAGCCGUACUACCAUGGAAGUCUUUCGCAGAGAGAUAUGGUAGAUGGGCUAGAAGAGCAUGACAUAUACUGUUGUGUCGAUAUUUUCUCCUCGGACCUUGAAAAUUUAUGGUGGGGACACGCAAACUUCUCAACAGGCCGUACCAAUAUCCGCAGCUGGUCUCCAAGGUGAAGAGUCUCUAGUCGAUAGAAUAAUGUAGGUAAGGGAAGUCGGCAAAUUAGAUCCGUAACUUCGGGAUAAGGAUUGGCUCUGAAGAUUGAGAUAGUCGGGCUUGAUUGGGAAACAAUAACAUGGUUUAUGUGCUCGUUCUGGGUAAAUAGAGUUUCUAGCAUUUAUGUUAGUUACUUGUUCCCCGGAUAGUUUAGUUACGUAGCCAAUUGUGGAACUUUCUUGCUAAAAUUUUUAAGAAUACUAUUUGGGUUAAACCAAUUAGUUCUUAUUAAUUAUAACGAUUAUCAAUUAACAAUCAAUUCAGAACUGGCACGGACUUGGGGAAUCCGACUGUCUAAUUAAAACAAAGCAUUGUGAUGGCCCUAGCGGGUGUUGACACAAUGUGAUUUCUGCCCAGUGCUCUGAAUGUCAAAGUGAAGAAAUUCAAGUAAGCGCGGGUCAACGGCGGGAGUAACUAUGACUCUCUUAAGGUAGCCAAAUGCCUCGUCAUCUAAUUAGUGACGCGCAUGAAUGGAUUAACGAGAUUCCUACUGUCCCUAUCUACUAUCUAGCGAAACCACAGCCAAGGGAACGGGCAUUAAUGCUCCGGUGUGGAGAACUGGAGACGCGGCUCGCUAUGCCACCACCGCCGCCGCCGCCGUCCAAGGCGAACACUACUGCCGCCAAUGCUCCCCAGAUGCCUCAGGUUGCACCCAUCGCUGCCCCGCGGACAACCAAGGUUCGUGAGACGUGGUCAGCGGUGGUGAAGUGCGACGACCCUGCGCUAUCGGGGAAAGCCAUAGCCGAAAAGGUGCGGACGAUGGUUGCACCCUCCCUCGGAGUCAGAGUACACGAGGUACGUGAGCUCCGUCGAGGUGGUGGUGCGAUCAUUCGUACUCCUUCGGUUGGAGAGCUGCAGAAGGUGAUGGCAUCGAAAAGAUUCGCAGAACUUGGACUGAAUGUGGCACGGAACGCGGCCGAGAAGCCGAAGGUCAUAGUCUAUGACGUCGACACAGCCAUCGGCCCAGAAGAGUUCAUGCAGGAGCUUCACGAGAACAACUUCGACAGUGAAAUGACUCUGGCCCAGUUCAAAAAGUCGGUGCACCUGGUGACCAAGGCGUGGUCGGCUACUGACGGUGCCACCGUAAACGUGACGCUAGAGGUAGACGACCGGGCGAUGGCGAAACUUGAUGUAGGACGUGUCUACAUUAAGUGGUUUUCGUUCCGAUGCCGAUCGCAAGUCCGCACCUAUGCCUGCCACAGAUGUGU